CCUGCGGCUCCCCCCUCUCCCAGCCCCGCCCCUGGGUAAGAGCCCUGCCUGGGUCAGGUGAAUCUCACCUGGCUCAGGGCCUGUCUUGGGGCGCACAGGCCUGAGGGGCCGGGAUGAUUCUCGGCUGUGCAGGGGAGUGAAAUGUGCCUUCAGAUGGGAGGAAGUUUACGCCCUUUUCAAUUUUCAACUCUGGAUUCACUCAAGCGGGAGAGCCUGCUCAACCCCUGCUGAAAUCUUAAAAAUCGAAGAAAAAUCAGGCCUGGGCUCAGAGCUCCCGGCAGACAAAGGUAUCCAGAGAGAACAUCGUCGUUUAAUUUGUUUUCACAGGGUGUGUUUCUGCAGUUUCCUUCUAUUUGUGCCUUUGCAAAGUGAAUUUCUGGGCAGAAGUGCAGGCCUCUCGCCAGGCCUCUGCCCCGCCUGGUGCCAGCUGCCUCGGAGCUGCUCAGAGCUGCGUGGUGGUCUGCUGCAGAGAAGCAGGAGGAAGUCAGGACAUGGAACCCUUCGAGAGAAGAGAAAUCAUCAUGCGAACCUGUUUUUGUCCUCCUCCUGGGGGCCUCAUGAUACCGGCAUUCAAACCGCCCCACUUCCAGGACCCCCACCCAGAGGUGGCUCUUCUGCCCCCUCCUGCCCAGUGUCCCUGUGGACAGCCCUGAGGACGAAGCAUGGCUUGAGUCCUCUUGUCCUAGCCUGUGCCACGACCACCUCCCCUGCUGCCCUUCCGGAGGGACACGACAGCCUCCCACACCCAUGCCUUUGGUCUGCCAGGGCCCUCCCUGCCCACAAAUCGGCCCUGGCCCGCAGCCGUGGGGGCUGAGGACGUGCGAUGUGCUGAAAAGAAAUCAGGUUGUGGAUGAGCAGAAACAUCUAAUACAACGUGAAAUAUCUAGUGUGCCAGGGCAGCUUCCUUUAGGCCCUGGCAACACUGCUGUCCUUGUCAGCAUCACCCAGACAGGGGGUGACAGGCCGAGGGCCCUGGGCGGCAGCCUGAUGAGCCUCACACGAGCCGAGUGGACAGCGGAGCCCUGGUCCCGGGGAGGCGGUGUUGGCGCUGGCCCACAUGAGCCCGGGUCUGACAGCUUCUUACAGCAAGCUCAGCCCUGGGGCUGGCUGGCAGCUCCCCCUCAUUUUCAGGUCCCCAGACCCCGCAGGGGGGGCACGGCACCUCUUUUAUACCCUCAUAUCCCUGAUCUUUACCAUUUAUCACUGUCUUUCUGUAUUUAUCAAAUACUUAUAUAGUGAUAAUAUAAUAUUAUAUCAUGCUUCUAUAAUAGGAACUACUGCGAUACAUUUUACAUUGAAGAAAACUGAGGUACAGAGAGGUGAA